CAGAGGUAGCCUGACUGCCAUUAGGUACCGAGAUGAGAUCCUCAGACCCCUUGUGAGACCAUAUGCUGGUGCGGUUGGCCCUGGGUUCCUCCUAAUGUAGGACAAUGCUAGACCUCAUGUGGCUGGAGUGUGUCAGCAGUUCCUGCAAGAUGAAGGCAUUGAAGCUAUGGACUGGCCCGCCCGUUCCCCAGACCUGAAUCCGAUUGAGCACAUCUGGGACAUCAUGUCUCGCUCCAUCCGCCAACGUCACGUUGCACCACAGACUGUCCAGGAGUUGGCGGAUGCUUUAGUCCAGGUCUGGGAGGAGAUCCCUCAGGAGACCAUCCGCCACCUCAUCAGGAGCAUGCCCAGGCAUUGUAGGGAGGUCAUACAGGCACGUGGAGGCCACACACAAUACUGAGCCUCAUUUUGACUUGUUUUAAGGACAUUACAUUAAAGUUGGAUCAGCCUGUAGUGUGUUUUUUCACUUUAAUUUUGUGUGUGGCUCCAAAUCCAGGCCUCCAUUGGUUAAUAAAUUUCAUUUCCAUUGAUGAUUUUUGUGUGAUUUUGUUGUCAGCACAUUCAACUUUGUACAGAACAAAGUAUUCAAUGAGAAUAUUUCAUUCAUUCAGAUCUAGGAUGUGUUAUUUGAGUGUUCCCUUUAUUUUUUUGAGCAGUGUAUUUAAAACCCCUUCAGUCCAGUAACAGCUGUGUUUAUUUGUUUUUUAAAGUCACUGGUUAGCACUGGUUCAUCUCAGUUCAUAAUAUUGCAGCAAAUAUCCAGCACAACAAACCCAGCUUUAAACCCAAACCAUCGCUGUAUAAACAGAGACAGAGGAGAAGUUUUCUUUCAGAAACAGCAAGGGUUACCUGCGUGUUUACUAAUCCGUUACUCGUUCGUGCUGGCGUUAAGAUCAUUUGCACGUUAGGUGGAUUUACAGGGCUAACGUGUAUUUAUUUUAUUAAUCUUUAGUGAUAGCAGGUAAAAUCUUGGCAAUGAAAGCUAUAUGAGUCUCGUGGCUCGAGUUUAUGGGGCGUUUGGGGACAGUAGAACCAAAACAGCUUAGCUAUGUAAGUUAGUUUGCUAACUUACGGAGCUACUUCAUGACGCAGAUUAGUCCAUUCAUCAUUAAAUUAUCAUACAGUGCAAAGAACAAAUGCUGUGUUCAGAUGAUGUGGUAAACUAUUCAUCUACAUGUUGUUCUUUCUUAGCUAUUCAUGUGAUUUUCUCUAUCAUUAACAGGGUGGUGAGCUUCCUGAGGGGCUUGAGGAUAGUUAUCCUGGUGCGUGUCUUUCGUCUGGCCUCUCAGAAGAAAGAUCUGGAGAAGGUCACUAGAAGAAAGGUAUCUGAGAACAAAAGGCGGUAACAAAAAGGAUGGAUUUGAAUUGGAUCUCACCUAUGUCACAGGCACUCUACAGAAAUCCCAUAAAAGAAGCUGCCAUAUUUCUGGACACAAAGCAUCCCGAUCAUUACAGAGUUUACAAUCUCUGCAGUAAGUUAG